CUUAAAUAUGUAUUUGAUCCUUGCAAUUAGGGGUCGUUUAAAAAUUGGUCCCUGUAUUCGCUAAUCCUUGCAAACUAGUCUUGCAAUCAUUAAUCAUUUAAAAUUUCGUCCCUGAGCCCAGUUAAUUACUGCCACGUCACUGAUUAGCUGACGUGGCACAAAAUAUGGCUUGAAAGGACAAAAAUACCCCUGAGACUAUCAGACAAACAGGAAAUUACGAAAUUGCCCCUUCAAUCAUUCAUCUUCCUCCUCCUCCAACCUUCCUCCUUCGAAGUUUUAUUCUACUCCUCCAACAUUCGGCUCCAUAAAAACUAUUGCAGAUAUGGAAAGUAUGACUUUUGUUCAUUUUGAUGAUUUUAGAGAGAAUGGAAAGUAUGAUUUUUGUUCCUGCAUUCAUAAACAAACCAAUUUCAUACAUAGCCUUAAACCAUUUCCCAGAUUAUGAAUUAUGUGGUAUAGUGCCAACUUAGUCGCACCUCUG
rnacentral:lncRNA from 1 species